GCACAGUGGUGAAAUGGUGUAAUUUUUUAAUAAAAGGAAUACAAAUGUCAUGAAAUGCAUAUGGGUAGCCGUGAGUGAGUUUUGGUAAAGCAAAUAUAAGCUUAAGAAAACGUUAGUGUAAAAGAGGAAAUUAUCUGCCUGAGGGUGAGGCGGGAUUCAAUCCUUCAACCGGAGGUUUACCAGUCUGUGACUUUGUUAGUGCAGCACCAUGACAUAGCUAUGCAAUGCGUGAAAUAUCAUCAGUGAACCUGUCCGUGGUUUUAAAGAAGAACACAGGCCAGUAAGCACAGAAGAGCUCCCGUUGAAUCCAUAUGGCUUUGCAAUAUUGUAGCCGGUUAAUAACUGAACGUGCAGACGGUACGUCAUAAUGCAGUGUAAACGUUAGGUGAACGGCGGGUAGAUAUGGUGCAAAAGCAAUAAUUGAGAAGUAGUAGACAAUUAUUAGUGAGGGUAAAAGCAGGUUAAAGAAAUGUGUUCCUAGCUGGGCUUGAACCUAGUAUCCCACGUGCCCAAGACUGUAACCUUGCCCACUAGGCCACAGGUAGACUAGCAGUUUAAACUGGAAAUGUUUCUGAGUAAAAAGGUAUGGGUAUUUUGCGUGUGUAUGCGAGUAUUUGAUUGGGUCGUGUAGGUGAAGAUUUGGCUGGUGUCGGUAAAAUGUCCAAUGGGGAGACAUGUUGUUAGUGGGAUAGGCGGCAGGAAAAAUAAGAAUGAAGAAGAAAAAGAAGAAGGAGAAAACGCAAAAUCACCUUAGUUUGGGGCUUUAUUGUGUGGACAUGUGAAGUUGUUUAUGAAUUCUGUCUGUUGAAAUGGGGUGAGAAUGUACAGAAAUUAAUGUUUUUAAGGGCGGAGUGUCUGUGGCUGUUGUGGUUAUUUCUGUGGGGAACCCUGAAAAGUGCCAAACUCUCGGUGCUGUAUAGGUAUGAGACAUACCCCCGCCAAGGCGUAACUUGGCGGGAUGGCAUACCUGCCAUCCCAAUUUGCUUCUAAGAUAGUAAAACUAGUAACGCUAGUUAAAUAGUUCAAGUAAACAAACGAAGUAAAGAAACAAACGCGGGCGGCGGGGACGGGCAGAUAAUAGGAAAGAAGAGGAAAGAAUGCCGUGAGUCCGGACUAUCCCCAGACGUUGGAGGUUUCCCCUAGGACCAGACCGGUAAAUGGACCAGACUGAUAUAGCUAGCUGGUCAGCUAGCUAACGACGACCCACGGGGACAGAAAGAAAAUGGUGAAGGACAGAACAGUGAACGUGCUGCUCCGCUGUGAACGUCUCUCAUGCUGCGUGUCCGGCUGAAUCCGCAUGUUCCAAACGUUGUCAAAAAUGCAACGGUGGAAAGAGAGAGAGUGAUGCAAAAUGGCUACUGUGUUGCAAAUAAAGUACAGCAGAGCGUAUGCGCCAAUCUCACAUAG